AGAGUUUGAUCAUGGCUCAGAUUGAACGCUGGCGGCAUGCUUUACACAUGCAAGUCGAACGGCAGCGCGGGGGCAACCCUGGCGGCGAGUGGCGUACGGGUGAGUAAUGCAUCGGAACGUAUCCUGUAAUGGGGGAUAACGUAGCGAAAGUUACGCUAAUACCGCAUACGCUCGAGAGAGGAAAGUGGGGGAUCGCAAGACCUCACGUUAUAGGAGCGGCCGAUGUCCGAUUAGCUAGUUGGUGGGGUAAAGGCCUACCAAGGCGACGAUCGGUAGCUGGUCUGAGAGGAUGAUCAGCCACACUGGGACUGAGACACGGCCCAGACUCCUACGGGAGGCAGCAGUGGGGAAUUUUGGACAAUGGGCGAAAGCCUGAUCCAGCCAUGCCGCGUGCGGGAAGAAGGCCUUCGGGUUGUAAACCGCUUUAGUCCGGGAAAAAGGGGUGCGAGGAUAAUACCCUCGUGCUUUGAUGGUACUGGAAGAAUAAGCACCGGCUAACUACGUG
rnacentral:rRNA from 1 species